AUUGAACGCUGGCGGCGUGCUUAACACAUGCAAGUCGUGCGGUAACAGGCGUAGCAAUACGUGCUGACGAGCGGCGAACGGGUGCAUAAUACAUGGGAAUCUGCCUUUUAGUGGGGAAUAACCCGGCGAAAGCCGGGCUAAUGCCGCAUAAGAUCUUCGGAUGAAAGCGGGGGAUCGUAAGACCUCGCGCUGAUAGAUGAGCCCAUGCCGGAUUAGCAGUUGGUGAGGUAACGGCUCACCAAGGCGACGAUCCGUAGCUGGUCUGAGAGGACGGCCAGCCACACUGGGACUGAGACACGGCCCAGACUCCUACGGGAGGCAGCAGUGGGGAAUAUUGGACAAGUGGGGGAAACCCUGAUCCAGCGACGCCGCGUGUGUGAAGAAGGCCUGGCGGGUUGUAAGC
rnacentral:rRNA from 1 species